rnacentral:rRNA from 1 species
AUUGAACGCUGGCGGCAGGCCUAACACAUGCAAGUCGAGCGAGCGGCGGACGGGUGAGUAAUGUCUGGGAAACUGCCUGAUGGAGGGGGAUAACUACUGGAAACGGUAGCUAAUACCGCAUACCAUCAGAUGUGCCCAGAUGGGAGUAGCUAGUGGGUGGGGUAACGGCGCACCUCGGCGACAAUCCCUAGCGGGUCUGAGAGGAUGACCAGCCACACUGGAACUGAGACACGGUCCAGACUCCUACGGGAGGCAGCAGUGGGGAAUAUUGCACAAUGGGCGCAAGCCUGAUGCAGCCAUUCCGCGUGUAUGAAGAAGGCCUUCGGGUUGUAAAGUACUUUCAGCUGGGAGGCGUUAUCCGCAGAAGAAGCACCGGCUAACUCCGUGCCAGCAGCCGCGGUAAUUC